GUGCCCCAGAGCUUACACUAUUAUCAGGAUUUGGAUUUGAUAUGUGUUUUCUCUCAUACCUAAUUUAAGGAUCAAAGUGGGUUUCCCAUCACUACAUCCACCCAGCCAGAGGUUUUCAGAGACAAUGGAUUAAUAUCAGGUUUGGCUCCUCAUUUUGAGUUUGCACCAGCUGAAGGAUGCUGGGAGAAUCUAGAGCAUCAUCCUUGUAGACACCCAUCACCGUUAAUUCAACUGGGCACCAACCAGAUGUGGACCAACAGCUGCAUAUCUGUUCUGGAUAUGGACAUUCUUCAGAGAGGACUGUUGCUAGUUUAGAGGCUUGUUCAGCAGAAAAUGACCAAAAUUCCACUUUGUGUCCAGGAAGCCUUUCAAAUGAUCCUUCCUCACAUCUGAAACAGCCAUCAGGGGAGACUGUGGAAUCUUGUGAGAUGGACCAUUUUCCUGGGGAUCCAAAGAAACACAUUCCAGAACAUCAGGCCACUUUCAAUGCAUGGUCCCGGACUAUCUCUGAGAGUUCCACAAUAACCCUUUCAGAAGAUCCACCUGAGUCCCCAGAAGCCUCCUGGGAUGAAACCUCAUCAGAAAAGAAAUUAGAGAAUACAGAGCAAGAGGUAGUGAAGGUGAGGCAAUUUCACUGAAAUUUCAGCUGUUAUUAUCUGAAAAUUAUGUAGUUGUGAAUGCUAGGAUUAUAUUCUAUUCUAUCUUGAAGAUGGUUGGGUCAUUGUAGGCAAUUGACCCAUGCUGAAAUUCAUACAACACAUAACUGCAUUAUGGCAGCCAAUUCAUAUUAACUAAGAAAUAAGCUGUAUUAUAUUUUUCAUUUAUUACAUUCCAGUGAGUAUUAUGCAUGUUUCAGUUCUGAGAAAAUCAAUUUAGAUCUAGCAAAAGAGGCCAUCAUUGAUUUACUUAUUUACUUUAUAUUUAUUUGCUUUAACGUGUGUGUAUUUAUAAUUUUUGUUAAAAAUAAUUUUUUUCAAAAGGUCAAUAGCGAUGGAGUCAUCUGGAUUUCUGGAAAGAGGUUGAUAAACAGCGUAAAUGCAAUUGACAAUCUUUUCCAUGGUCCUUAUAUGAGGGAGGAAGCCCAAUUGUCCCUGCUCCAGAUGCACAAACUGAAUGGAUUUGAUCUACUUGAAAUAGAUGCUCAUUAAUGGGUUUAAAAGCCAAAAUCAACAUAUUAAAUUGUACCUGACACCUGCUGGUGACCAAUGUAGAGCCCUAAGACCUGCUGUUAAGUCUGAAUAAUGACUGUCAUUCUCUAAUAGACAAGCUAGAGCAGUUAUAGUCUCUGAGUAGUCUUGAAGUCUAGACUGCUUUGCAAAAAUCUAACUGGGACAUGACAAGGGUAAGAGUCAGGGUCUCCAGGCCUCCUCCAGGAAGAGCUUCAAGUGAUGCCAGUGCUGAGCAAAGGUCCCUUAAUUAUAAUCUCCCAUUAUCUAUCCACCAAUAGCUAUGAAUCUAAGCGGUUCACAAAUCGCAGACCUGUUAUUUCUUAGGGAGAACAAUCUCUUCCAGAAUGAUCACUGGUUCAGAGAAAGGCAUCUUAUGGCAGUGAUUCUCAACCUGCGGUCCACGGAACCCUGGAGGACACUGAUGUCUUCACAGGAGGUCUGUGAAGAAGAAUUGUUAUAAUUUAAAUAUUGAGUUAAGUCUUGGUGGUCUGUGGUCAUGGUCUGUGGCCUCCAGUAUUUGAGAGGUUGCCAUAAGGAGGAGGGGGUGAACUUAUUUUUUCAAAGCACCAGAGGGCAGGAUUAAGAAACAAUGGAUGGAAACUAAUCAAGGAGAGAAGCAACCUGGAAUAAAGGAAAAACAUCCUAAAUAAUUGAGAACAAUUAACAGUUUGCAUUCAGAAGUUGUGGGUGCUUCAUCACUGGACGUUUUUAAGAAGAGAUUGGACAGUCACUUGUCUGAAAUGAUAUAGGGUCUCCUGCUUGAGUAGGGGGCUGGACUAGAAGACGUUCAAGGUUCCUUCCAGCUCUAUUCUCUAUAUGGAUUGAAAAGGUAUUUAAAGUGAAUCCAUGACAAAGAAAAGACUGCCAUAUCUUUUUGUACAAACUGCAACUCAACUUUCUUGGGCUUCAACUCUAACCUAUUUCUUCCCAAUCUAUACAGCCUUCAGGCACUGGUCAGGGGCCCCAUGACAUCCUGGUAUCACCAGCUUGGCCAGGAUAGAGAUGCCUAUCUGCGUAUAAUCAGAAAAGUGACAAUACCUCAUCCCAAACUGAUAGAGGUCUCAGCAGUUUACAUAAUUAUUAAACAGGAAGGAGAGAGAAGUCUUUGAUACUCCCUUUUGUAGCAGGUAAGGGGUAGACCUCUCUUUCCCACUAUUGCCAUCUGAAACCAUCCAUUCAUGAAAUCAUAGGAGCCACUGUAAAACAUUGCCUCCAUUUAUAUAUGAUUUCAAAAUAAGGGUUAUAUGAAAUAAGAACAGACUGAGUCUGUGUAAUGGAUCCAUCUUCAGAGUCAACAUGCCAUUCAAGAUUAGGUAUGAGGACAAACAACAGGGAAAAUAGUUUGUUUCUGUUAAGUUUGCAUGAAGAGACAGAUGCGGAGUGCUUCAAGCUCUUUGUUUAUUAGUGACUACAGCUCAGAACGGAC
ensembl:lncRNA